CCUACGGGGGCAGCAGUGAGGAAUAUUGGUCAAUGGACGGAAGUCUGAACCAGCCAUGCCGCGUGCAGGAAGACGGCUCUAUGAGUUGUAAACUGCUUUUGUACAAGGGUAAACCUGAAUACGUGUAUUCAGCUGAAAGUACUGUACGAAUAAGGAUCGGCUAACUACGUGCCAGCAGCCGCGGUCAUACGUAGGAUCCGAGCAUUAUCCGGAGUGACUGGGUGUAAAGAGUUGCGUAGGUGGCAUAGUAAGUAGCUAGUGAAAUCUGGUGGCUCAACCAUUCAGACUAUUAGCUAAACUGCUAA
rnacentral:rRNA from 1 species